UUUUAACUUAAGAGGCAACUCUUAACUGGCCAUCCAGGGAAAAAACCGAGAGGUUCAAGCUUGGAGGGCAGAAAGCUUCACGGAGUAGCGCUAAAAUCGUGAGGUGGUCAUGGCAUGGCAGUAGCGCAUACAAUGACGUGCCAA
rnacentral:sRNA from 10 species